GACGAACGCUGGCGGCGUGCUUAACACAUGCAAGUCGAACGGAAAGGCCCUGCUUUUGUGGGGUGCUCGAGUGGCGAACGGGUGAGUAACACGUGAGUAACCUGCCCUUGACUUUGGGAUAACUUCAGGAAACUGGGGCUAAUACCGGAUAGGAGCUCCUGCUGCAUGGUGGGGGUUGGAAAGUUUCGGCGGUUGGGGAUGGACUCGCGGCUUAUCAGCUUGUUGGUGGGGUAGUGGCUUACCAAGGCUUUGACGGGUAGCCGGCCUGAGAGGGUGACCGGCCACAUUGGGACUGAGCUACGGCCCAGACUCCUACGGGAGGCAGCAGUGGGGAAUAUUGCACAAUGGGCGGAAGCCUGAUGCGGCAACGCCGCGUGCGGGAUGACGGCCUUCGGGUUGUAAACCGCUUUCGCCUGUGACGAAGCGUGAGUGACGGUAAUGGGUAAAGAAGCACCGGCUAACUACGUG
rnacentral:rRNA from 1 species